rnacentral:rRNA from 1 species
UACGUAGGCAGCGAGCGUUGUUCGGAAUUACUGGGCGUAAAGAGUGUGUAGGCGGUGUUCCCAGUCUGUUGUGAAAUCUUUCGGCCCAACCGGAAAAGUGCCCCCGAUACUGGCCGCCUCGAGGGGGGUAGGGGCAUGCGGAACUUCCGGUGGAGCGGUGAAAUGCGUAGAUAUCGGAAGGAACGCCGGUGGCGAAAGCGGCGUGCUGGACCCCUUCUGACGCUGAGGCGCGAAAGCCAGGGGAGCAAACGGG